UCCUUCUCUCUCUCUGACUGAUGUGUGUUCUUCCACACUCUAUCUUGUGUCAGUUAAUAGUUAACGGCAACAGAGCAGAGUUGUCGUGGCACCACGACCUAGACACCUGGCACGUUCUGAGCGCCCUCCAACCCGGGCACCCCGGAUCAGCUGACUCACCAUGGGAAACUAUAUAUGUGGUACACUGAGGAAGAAGAAAAAUAAAGAUGGAGAUGACAGUGAUGAUCAGAGCAGCCCAGACACAGAAAAGAAGGAAGAGGAUGUGACAUACGCCACCAUUGACCAUAGCAACACCAAGACAACAGGUGUCAUAAUAGAUUCUCACACUAACGACUGUGACUACGCCAUUGUUAAACCUCCAACUUGCCUCGCCCACCAGUCGUUAAUUAAAGAAGACUGUGCAGAUGACUAUGUCUUCAUGGGCUGACCUCAUGUACAAUGUGUGUGUGUGUGUGGGGGGGGACAUUUUGAAGGGGGACAAUGGAGAUGCAAGGUGGACAUAGGCCUGGGGCAAGCUGGACAGCACCUUCCUGGACCAAAAUACCCUAGAUGUGACUAUGAUAGCGCCCACAAAUGGAACUUUUCUUGAUGCAGUGUGGUUGCAGGAAUUAUGUGCUUCUAUAGUUAUGUUUAAUUAUGUUUUACAGUCACAUUAUGCUUAUGUUAAUGUUUACAUUUUUUUCCCUAAGAGAAACGGAUGCUUUAGUUCAAACUUUCUAUGUGGUUUAUUUGGCCUCUUGACAGAGGGAACAUACAGGCCAGAGAUUCAAAGGCUAUAGCUAUCAUACUGACCCCUGAGAUACAACUACCAACCACACCACACACACACCCUGGGAGAGAUGAGAUGUUUAUGGUUUGCGAUAGAAUUAUGUGUUUGAAUUUUAUGCAAAAUAUUUUCUUUGCACAAAUCUAUUUGAAUGAGAUACAGUAAGGUGAGAGCGGGAUUGGAGAUACUGUUGUUUUGUGAACCGGUCUUAGCUGUUUCUCAAAAUCACCAGGAACUGUUGUAUCCUAUCAAUGAUGGAUGCAAAGAUGGAUUAAAUCAACAUCGUUAGAACUUUUGUAUCCUUACAUUUAUAACAUCAAUGGCAACAAUCAACGGCAGACAAUUUUCUGCAACUUCAAGAUUGAAUCAAUUAAUAUUUUGGGGCUUCUUUAAUACUAAAGAGAAGAAGACAAAGAGUAACUGUCAAAGACGUAAAUAGCCAAUAAUGUGGAUCCUUAGCAGGUAAAAAAUAGAACCUCUGUCAAAAUAGAUCAAUUUAGCUCCCUAUUUAGUCAGCAUUAAUCACAAAUCACAUAAUAGCCUACAGCUUAAGUAUGUUAACCAAAACAUGUUUCAAUUCAAGGUCCAUGCUCAUCAAAAUGGAUCAUAUGGACUGAUAAUCAGCAGGUGAUUGUUUCAAAUCCUAGGUGAGCCACACUAUAGAUUCAACCUAUAUGUUGCUUUGUCACUCUAUAUCACUAAGCCUACUUAUACUGGACUUCCUUUACUAGUCUCCUACACUACUCCCUUGAUCUGUCAUAACUGGGUUUCUAACAUCACAAAAUUUGUGAAAGCAAGAUGGAGGAAAAUCCACCAUGAGUUUUCACAUUACUGUAUUCCCCUGUCCUUCUUCUUUGAGAUUUGUGGUUAGGAAAGAGGUGAACUCAUAGAAAAUGUCUUUGUGGAAAGGAAAUCUAAGCUGCAGUCCAAGCACGUAAUUUUUAACCCCUCAGCCCUUGCGCUAGCUACUUUCGCUUUGGGGAAUCUGGAUGCAGUUUGAUUGCCAUCUUAAGUGGAGGUCCAAUUCACUAACGUUGCCCCCUCGAACCCUCGAUUUAGCUUGAGGUAGCGAGUGAACAACUUUGAUCGCUUGUGGGGUUGCCAUGACCUACAUUUUAAUGAUAACUGUAGUCACAUGUUGUUAUGUUGUGUUGAUACCAUGCUGUGUUGUCAUGUGUUGCUGCCUUGCUAUGUUGUUGUCUUAGAUCUCUCUUUAUGUAGUGUUGUGUUGUCUCUCUUGUUGUGAUGUGUGUUUUUUCCUAUAUUUAUAUUGUAUUUAUUUUUUAUUUUUAAUCCCUGGCCCCCGUCCCCGCAGGAGGCCUUUUGGUAGGCCGUCAUUGUAAAUAAGAAUUUGUUCUUAACUGACUUGCCUAGUUAAAUAAAGGUUAAAUAAAUAAUAUAAUAAAUGAAAUAACAUUUAUAAAAUGUAUAAAAACAUGUCAUACUGCGGUAGCUGCGAAGUGUCACAUUUAGAUAGCUUGCAAAAGAAAUGUAUAGAUUACAUUGAUGUUUGUGUUCGCAAAUUGGCUUUGUCUCCUAGUGAGGACCCUGUAAAACGUAGCUACCUUCAUAAACGGAUUUUGGGGAAUUCUGAAAACUAUUAGAAUAAAUGACUGUAAAACUAGCUAGCCAACUAGCUGACAGGAGUGCAAGCUAGCUAAGUUAGCUUGCUAGGUACAUUAAUAGCUUUAGGUUGAUUGUUUUUAUGCUCAAUUUCAAGAUUUCCACCAUGGACGUUGUUUCUCCGAUCAUCACUCAUCGUCACUUGGGUAAGGGACAUUUAAGGUACACUCGGAUGUGAAGAUGUAAAACUUAAUUCAAGAGCUGAGGGCUGUCUACUUUGAAUUUGGAAUGCAGCCCUUAACACACCCUCUUUCUCAUAAAAUUAGUUCACCUAUAUUCUCCAGCAGAGGGUGCACAUCCCCUGCUUUAUGGAAAGCACUCAACAGUAUGCCAACGAUAUUGAUAACUAACCCAAGAUAGUUCAUCUGUGUUGUUUACAGUGGGAGCAAAUUAUACAUAGUGGGCAGAAUAAGCAAUGAGGUGGACAAAGUCAUGCACGAGCUAGCGAGAUCCUACUGGUGCAUUGUAGCAUGUAUUUGCAUAUUUCCAUUAGGGAAUGCCUCCAUUGUGAAGUGUGUGUGGGUGCAAACCCAAUUCGACCCAGCACUCCUUUUAAAACAACGCAAUUUACAAAAAACUUUGACAGAACGUCAAGUCUAUUAAACUUAGUGCACUGUGUUCAUAACAUAUUCUAGUUUUAGGAACAGAAAGAUGUUUCAUCAAUGAGAACAUUUGCAGAAUGUCGGCCCAGUUUCAGUUAGUUCCAACCUCCCUCACAAUCCGUGACUGGACUUCCUCUCACUCACAUAUUUGGUGAUGAGAAAACUUUCUAGACAGAUGUUUCAGAUUUAUAGCCCCUAUGUUGUGUCUGGGGUACCCCAUUCUGUCUGUGAGUAUACUGUAUCAUGUCACAUCCUAUGAAAUUGACCAAUACAAACAAAC
ensembl:lncRNA